rnacentral:lncRNA from 13 species
AUGUCAAUGCCAAUGUCUGUCACGUGUGGUAGUAUGAUGAGCAUUAGAAUGUACAGUGAAGUGAGUGUACACAUGAGUGUAGGUCGGGGCAGGGGUUUGACCAUGGACUGUGUGAGUAUUGUGUGUUUCAGGAGCUGUUCUAUGCUGUGCUCUGCUGUGCUCUGCUGUGCUCUGCUCUGUUGUUCGGCGCCUGUGUCCUGUGUCACAGAGGAAGCAUUGAUCAGACAGCUACUGAGGCUCAAUACACAAUGAGGCCUGGCCCGAGAUCUCUCCUUCUCCCAACCCCCCUCUCCCUCUCCCUGCGUGCCCUGCUCCUGCUCUGCCUUGCGUGUAAGUCCCACACACAUGCACGUGCACACCACACACUUGCGUAAUAGACGUUCAAUGUGCAUUCACUGACAAUCUACGUACUGUACAUUCACACAUACACAUGAUGACACACACUAACUUGCAUACAGAUGGAGGAUCUUCAUUUCAUCACGCUGUUGCAGAACUUUCCUGCAAUGCAGGACAUUUUAAAUGGAUAGUGGUUGUAUUUCAGCUUUGGAAAGGCUUCUGAAGUUUGUCAUUUCUACUUUGAAAUUUCAGGCUUGAUUUUCCCUCACAAAAAAAAUGUAUCACCCCCUACAAAAAUAUCCAUUCAUUUACAAUCCACAUAAUAAUUCACAUUUCCUGUUGCUGUAGGAUUUCCCUGCUGUAGCAAACUGGCUCACAUGUAAGACCCUACAUCUGUACAAACACUGACUCACCUCACUACAUCAAGCUAGAUUAUCUUUCUCCAUCUUUCACCUCUCAGUGGGGUAGUUGAUGCCAACAUGUGAAAAUGGGAAGAUCGGGAGACUUAAUAAAUGUCAUGUAAAAUGGGGGAAAGCUAUAGAGUGAGGGAAAUUGAAGACAAUUCACGUAGGGAUCGAAAGAUAGAGUGGACCGAGAGAAAAGCAGAGUGUGAAUGAACUCUCAAAUCUCUGAUUUAGGUGUGAAUUUACAAUGAGCAUUAUGUAUGAGCAGAGUGCUAUAGAGAGGAGGGUUACACCCGUGGGACUGUAGGACUGGGGAAAUGUGGAAAUACAAACCAGGAUGGAGGAGUACAGCUAAAAGAGGCGAGAGAGAGAGAGAUGAGUCUCCCGAUCUUCCCAUUAUCACGUGUUGGCCACAAUUAUCCCAGAGAGAGAGAGAGAUCACAGCCUCUGAGAGCCUUCUGAAGUACACCACAAAAUAAACUUUGACCAGAGGAGAUAGAGAGACAAACUGGUAGAGGGAUGGAGAAAGUGAGAAAAAAGAAGAUAAGCAAGAGGGAGGGACAGAAAGAUAGUGAGCCCAGGAAUCAGGAGAGCAGGAGAGCCAGUGUUUCCUGGGCUCACUGUCUUUCUGGAUCACUGUGGGCAGGAGAGCCAGUGUUUCCCCUGUCUUUGAUCUAUGAUUAGGAUCACUGUGGGCAGGAGAGCCAGUGUUUCCCCUGUCUUUGAUCUAUGAUUAGGAUCACUGUGGGCAGGAGAGCCAGUGUUUCCCCUGUCUUUGAUCUAUGAUUAGGAUCACUGUGGGCAGGAGAGCCAGUGUUUCCCCUGUCUUUGAUCUAUGAUUAGGAUCACUGUGGGCAGGAGAGCCAGUGUUUCCCCUGUCUUUGAUCUAUGAUUAGGAUCACUGUGGGCAGGAGAGCCAGUGUUUCCCCUGUCUUUGAUCUAUGAU